rnacentral:rRNA from 1 species
AUUGAACGCUGGCGGCAGGCCUAACACAUGCAAGUCGAGCGGAUCGGCGGACGGGUGAGUAAUGCCUAGGAAUCUGCCUGGUCGUGGGGGAUAACGUUCGGUAACGGGCGCUAAUACCGCAUACUAUUAGCUGCGCCUGGGCCGGAUUGGCUAGUUGGUGGGGUAAAGGCCAACCAAGGCGACGAUCCGUAACUGGUCUGAGAGGAUGAUCAGUCACACUGGAACUGAGACACGGUCCAGACUCCUACGGGAGGCAGCAGUGGGGAAUAUUGGACAAUGGGCGAAAGCCUGAUGCAGCCAUGCCGCGUGUGUGAAGAAGGUCUUCGGAUUGUAAAGCACUUUAAGUUGGGAGGCGUUACCAGCAGAAUAAGCACCGGCUAACUUCGUGCCAGCAGCCGCGGUAAUUC